AGCGAACGCUGGCGGCAGGCCUAACACAUGCAAGUCGAACGAACCCUUCGGGGUUAGUGGCGGACGGGUGAGUAACACGUGGGAACGUGCCUUUAGGUUCGGAAUAACUCAGGGAAACUUGUGCUAAUACCGAAUGUGCCCUUCGGGGGAAAGACUUAUCGCCUUUAGAGCGGCCCGCGUCUGAUUAGCUAGUUGGUGAGGUAAAGGCUCACCAAGGCGACGAUCAGUAGCUGGUCUGAGAGGAUGAUCAGCCACAUUGGGACUGAGACACGGCCCAAACUCCUACGGGAGGCAGCAGUGGGGAAUCUUGCGCAAUGGGCGAAAGCCUGACGCAGCCAUGCCGCGUGAAUGAUGAAGGUCUUAGGAUUGUAAAAUUCUUUCACCGGGGACGAUAAUGACGGUACCCGGAGAAGAAGCCCCGGCUAACUUCGUGCCAGCAGCCGCCGUAACAC
rnacentral:rRNA from 1 species